rnacentral:rRNA from 1 species
CCUACGGGUGGCAGCAGUGGGGAAUAUUGCACAAUGGGGGAAACCCUGAUGCAGCGACGCCGCGUGAGUGAAGACGUAAUUCUUUAUGUAAAGCUCUUUCAGCAGGGAAGAAAAUGGCGGUACCUGAGUAAGAAGCCCCGGCUUACUACGUGCCAGCAGCCGCGGUAAUACGUAGGGGGCAAGUGUUAGCCGGAUUUACUGGGUGGAAAGGGAGCGUAGACGGCAGUGCAAGGCUGGAGUGAAAGGCGGGGGCUCAACCCGCGGACUGCUCUGGAAACUGUACGGCUGGAGUACAGGAGAGGUAGGUGGAAUUCCUAGUGUAGCGGUGAAAUGCGUAGAUAUUAGGAGGAACACCAGUGGCGAAGGCGGCUUACUGGACUGUAACUGACGUUGAGGCUCGAAAGCGUGGGGAGCAAACAGGAUUAGAUACCCCGGUAGUC